AGAUUCCAUCUUCCCAACUGACUUCUUCUCUCCUGAAGAAGUUGAAAUUAAGGCUUGAAGAGGAUUUUCCCUGUGAUCAACAGAGGAAGGAGGUUUUCUGGAUCUGAAUGCUGGCAACAUCAGGGAGAAGAUCUCUGCACUUACUUGGAUAUCUACUAACUUAAGAUUCUGGCCCUAUUUGAUUUGGACUCCUGAUGUGGAAGACUCUGGUGAGGAAUAUUCCACAUACUGCCAGACAUUACUGAUGUGACACACCUUCCCAGUCUGGGGAGGCUUAUCACGAGAGAGAAAACUAACGUAUUGGUGAGGAAUUCUUUGGACAGAGCAAUCCAUGAAGCAAAGACAACCAAAAGAGGGCACUUGGUCCUGUAGAGCUCCUUCUAAUUCUACAAUAAUAGUAGCCAACUUGUUUGAAGAGAGAAUAAGGGACACUGAGAAUCAGAGGAAUUUUACACCAUCUACAAACAUUCACUUAACUAUAGGAUUGCGAAGGCUGAAGUUCAGAGGACAAAUAUCAGGUAAUCCAUUUGAUCAUCUUGAUUUCAGUGGAGGAACUGUAAGAGAGGGAACCUGGACUCAAUCUGCCAGUAGAACACAUCAAGCCUGGGAAGGACAAGAAGGACAGAGAAUUCCGGAGAAGGAACAGAGGAACUGAGAAGAUCCAAACAGUUAACUCACUUCUCUUUGGAGAGCCCUUUAGAGAGGUCUGAGAGAACCUCUGCGUUUUGAUCAUCUUUCUGUGAAUCCAGAUCCCCUGAAUCCAGUGGAAGACAACCAGAGGGAAUAGGACUUUGUCAUGAAACUACCCAUCUCAGGAAGAUUUCCUCUCCAUCCCCCUAAAGCAAUCCUUGAACUUCAUAUCAAACCAGGACAGAUAAAAGUCAGGAGAGCUCUCGCAACUGACUAGGGGGUAUCAGGCAGUCAGCCUGACCCUUCAGGAUUUGGGAAGAAGAGGCUCAGUUGUUAGGGACUUCUUACUCCCACUUUCCCAUUACCUUAUCCCACAGUCUUACUUGCCCUACCUCAUGUGUGUGUUCCUUAAGAAUAACUAUCUGCUUUAUCAGAUCAAGUGCCUGCUUCAUAUUUUCUAAGGAGAGACCUGAAGCUUGGGGAGGAAGGCUAGACCUUCUCCUCAGAGAGGGAGAAAUAGUUCAGCCCUGGAUUUUACUUCAACCCAGAUAUAGUUGUGGCUCUGAAGGCAACUGGUGUGAGUUUUACUAGGGAAAGAGAGGAGAGAAACAAUAUAUUCCCUCUCUCUACCUUUUAGCUCCAUUCCACUUCUACCACAUUCUAGUCCUAAAUUAAGUAGUGGGGGAACUCCAUUUCUCUCCCUCCAUUACAGAACAUUGGGAUUUUUCCUCCUAAAUUUGCCCAUUAAGGGAACUAACACAUAUUCCAAAAAUCACAGGAUAAUACCCAGGCAGUAGAAAGCAGUCAAGGACAAAAAGAAUGGGGAUAUUUCUCAUUUCACAUAUGAGAGUAACACUAACAUUUGUUGCCCCAAAGGAAUCUGUGAAGAAAAUAAAAACAUUAAGAUACAAGAGUAGUGCCUGUCU
ensembl:lncRNA